UGUCACGGUGACGACUCCAUGAAAUUCAAGCUCAACAGACCGGAUUGCAGGCUUCUCUAUUGUUAGAGUAAGUUUGCGUGUCGAGUACCCCGCUGAACCGAGUGACU
rfam:Solanum lycopersicum cultivar Heinz 1706 chromosome 3, whole genome shotgun sequence.